rnacentral:misc_RNA from 1 species
CAGCGACGUCCGUCCUCGCAAGCCCCUUCAGUCGUUGGCCAAGAGCGCGUUGGCCUUGGCCGUGUGCGUGUUUCCUGUGUUGCAUACCUACCGAAAGGAAUUCGUGCGGCGCACCGUCCACCGUUCGCCUCGUGCUGUGCCCACUUCGGGGUGCGGCGUCGGGUGAACCCCGAAGCGAUUCUCGCGUUCCUCGUCGGCCACGAAACGUGCCGUCGGCGCGGCCCGUGAGUUUUCGCUUGGGCUCUCGGAUGCGGAAUACUCGGAGGGCAGGAGGUCGACGGCCUCCGUUUGCCCGAAUGAAGCGUUUAUUCGCUCGUUACCGAACGACUGCCGUCGUUGCUUCGGCCGUCUGAUCCUUCGGGUUCGGACACGCCCGUGC